ACGGGGGAUGCGAGCGUUAUCCGGAUUCAUUGGGUUUAAAGGGAGCGUAGGCGGCCCGACAAGUCAGCGGUAAAAGACUGCAGCUAAACUGUAGCGCGCCGUUGAAACUGCCGGGCUAGAGUGCAGACGAGGUUGGCGGAACAGGUGAAGUAGCGGUGAAAUGCAUAGAUAUCACCUGGAACCCCGACAGCGAAGGCAGCUGACCAGGCUGUAACUGACGCUGAUGCUCGAGAGCGUGGGUAGCGAACAG
rnacentral:rRNA from 1 species